rnacentral:rRNA from 1 species
AACGAACGCUGGCGGCAGGCCUAACACAUGCAAGUCGAGCGCGCCCUUCGGGGUGAGCGGCGGACGAGUGAGUAACGCGUGGGAACGUGCCUUUUUCUACGGAAUAGCCUCGGGAAACUGAGAGUAAUACCGUAUACGCCCUUUGGGGGAAAGAUUUAUCGGAAAAGGAUCGGCCCGCGUUGGAUUAGGUAGUUGGUGGGGUAAUGGCCUACCAAGCCGACGAUCCAUAGCUGGUUUGAGAGGAUGAUCAGCCACACUGGGACUGAGACACGGCCCAGACUCCUACGGGAGGCAGCAGUGGGGAAUCUUAGACAAUGGGGGCAACCCUGAUCUAGCCAUGCCGCGUGAGUGAUGAAGGCCUUAGGGUUGUAAAGCUCUUUCAGCUGGGAAGAUAAUGACGGUACCAGCAGAAGAAGCCCCGGCUAACUCCGUG